UGCCAGGGGCAGUGGUAGCUCAGUGGACUACCGAUCAGCAGGUCGUGAGUUCAAAUCCCAGCACCUGCAA